rnacentral:rRNA from 1 species
GACGAACGCUGGCGGCGGGCCUAAUACAUGCAAGUAGAACGCAGUUGCGAACGGGUGAGUAACGCGUAGGUAACUGCCUCAUAGCGGGGGAUAACGAUUGGAAACGAUAGCUAAUACCGCAUACUGUGAGAUGGACCUGCGGUGUAUUAGCUAGUUGGUGAGGUAAAGGGUCACCAAGGCGACGAUACAUAGCCGACCUGAGAGGGUGAUCGGCCGGCUUUUGACUGAGCCACGGCCCCGGCUCGUACGGCAGGCAGCAUGAGGGAAACUUCGGCUGUGGGCGGGAGUCUGGGCGAGCAACGCUGCGUGAGUGGAGGAGGUUUUCGGAUAGUAAUGCUCUGUUGUUAGAGAAGCGGUAACUACCCGGAAGGGGACGGCUAACUACGUGCCAGCAGCCGCGGUAAUUC